UUAAAGUAAAGAAAUAGGAGGGACAGUUUGGGGGGUAAAUGUGGUACCUGGAUCCUCAUAUUUCCAAUGUUCUCCCAUUCUUACCUGAACUGGGGCCAGAGGGGCAUAAGGGUAUGUCUGUAAUUGUUUCUAUCCUGGAAAUCUCAGGCAGAUAAAAGAGCCAGAAUCAAUAUUUCAAAAUAUUUAGGACAGAGAAGAUAAAUAUGAGGUGAAACCAAGCCACAGUCAUGGGACUACCUGAAUUUGGAUUAUGCACCCCAUACUUCUCAGCUAGCAAACUGCAUGCCCUUCUUGUUCAUCUUGCAAUAAUGUGAUCAGGAAUUUUAUGUGAGUGAGUAGUUGAACUCACAUCACUGUUUGGAAGAGUUUUUCCUGUACUUACUAAACUCCUGCUAUAUGCUGGGCACAAUUCUACAUGCUAGAGAUACUCACUGGUUCAGUGCCCACUGCAGAAGGACAAAUGAUACAUAGCAUGAAUUAAAUGACCACAGAACAUGGCAAGCUACUCUAAAUACAACAGGAAUUGGCUCACACAAUUAUGGAGUCUGCCGAAUCCCAAGACCUGCAGUCUUCAAGCUGGUGACCUAAAGGGGCCAAAGUGUGAGUUCUAGUUUAAAUGCUGGCAGCCUUGAGACCCAGAAAAAGCUGAUGUUUCAGUUCAAGUCUGGAGGCAGGAAAAAAAACCGGUCUGAGCUCAAGGUAAGAGAAAUUCCCUCUUAAUCACGGGAGGGUCAGCCUUUUUGUUCCAAUCAGGCCCUCAUUGACUAGAUGAGGGCCACUCACAUUAGGAAGGCAAUACAAUGUACUCAGUCCAAGGAUUCAAAGUUUAAUUUCAAUCAGAAACAGACACACCCAGAGUAAUGCUUGACCAGAUGUCUGGGCAUUUCAUGGUCCAGUCAAGUUAACAUAUAAAAUUAGCCAUUAACGUGGUUUGCCCUAUUCUAUCUUGAUAGGUAUUUGUAACAGAAGUCCUCGGUUGUUUCUGCAUUACAAUUCUUAUGUCAAGAUUUAAAAAAAAUUUUUUUUUCUAAUGUUUAUUUAUUUUUGAG